UUUAACGUUCACUUUUUUUUAUUUUGUAUUUUGGUAAGGCGUCGCCUCGUGGGUCAAGGAAAAUUUGCAGAAAUUAAUGGCUGUCUAUUUACCGUAAUUUCUAGUUUCAAGUUAUAUUUGUUGUGGAAUUAGGGUGUAGAAUUUAGAAUGGGUUCCUCAUGAAUACUAUCAGGGCUUGCUCCAAUAAUUUAAGCACGUCUAAAAAGCAUCUCCUAUAUAAAAAGAGAAAACACGAAGUACCAUCUAAAUCUAUCUGCCAAAAUGAUGCAGUAUUUUCACAUUAUAAUAGUGAACGGGUUUUACUAUUUGUACACAAGCUAGCACCCAGCGCUGAAAAAUUCAUACUCUUAUGCAGAGGUUCGUAGCCUCCAUAUUUCUUAACAAUUUGAGAUUUUAUUCAUAUGAAAAGUUAUAUAGAGGGCUCGUAAAUGUCAAGCACAUGUCUCAUGUGCUCAACAUCCCAGACCUAACUCAACCUAACUCAACCCAACCCAACCAAACCCAUCCCAACCCAACAAACAGGCACACGGGGGGAGGGGGGCUUACGCCCUUCGUAUACAAAAUAUUCCAUAUUUCGUAUUAUUUUUAAUUCGGACAGAAAUCUAAAAAGUACCAAAACAAUAAAUAAUAUAUGAUGGGUGUUUUCGGUAUGUUUUUUAGACGAGGGGACGAAAUUUACGAAGAGUACAAUUGCAAAAAAAUAAAAAAGGUAAACUGGCAUAGUUGAAAUCUAAACACAGGCUCAUAGUUCACUAUUAUUACCAUCAAGCCAUGAAGGGCUGCAGCGAAUUUUCAAAAACGGGUUUAUAUUGUAACAUAGGUACACAUUGUGUCAUGAUUUUUUUUUUAAUUAUUUUAUUA